CAGUUCAACCAGUCACCCUUGCACCAAGAAUACCCAAAGCCCUUGCCCCUCUUCAGGUUCUGCCUCAAACGCUUCGAUUUGCAACAUUUGUUCCAGUUUUGAACCGUUGAAUUUUCUCCAGCCUUUUGUUUUAUUGUAAAAAAGUUGCAAAACCCCAACAUCCCUUUCUUUAAUUCUUGGAAGAAAAGGAUGGUCAAGGCUAGAGAAGGAGAAAGAAGAUAACUUUUAUGAUUUCUUUGGUUUUCUUGCAAAAGGGGAGGUUGAUGCACUGAAACCCACAGUUUGGAAUUGGAACAAAAAGAGAGUUUAUAUGGAAGUAAUUUAGGGGUGCUAGUGAAAAGACCCAGAUUUUUUUGAUUGAGAUACAUCAGGUGAAAUGCUGAUAGAGACUUCAAUUUCUAGUUCAAUUGAAGCUAGCCUAUUUUAUGUAUCUGAACACAGGAAACAAGAUUCUUUAUGUGAUUGGAUGCCUGGAUAUGAAACUAGGCAGAUUUCUCCAAAAUGUGAUGUCCCUUCUCUGAGUGGAUGUAAAGAGGCUGAGUAUUCAUGCCCCCCCUUACCAAGAACUGGUUCUCAACAAUCAUCUGUGAGUGUAAUGUCUGAAGGUCCUGUACCUACUUUUGUUUACAGUAGGAGAAAAAAACGGCGGGUUAGCGGCAGCAGCGCUAGCGCAGCUGUUGCCAAUUUUUGUGCAGAGGCCCCUGUGAAUUCAAAGAGAAGUGGGGAUUGUCUUUCUGUUGUCAGUUCUGAUGCUCUUUCAAUGGCAGUCAUGGAGCAAAAUGGAGUUUCUCAAGUUGGACAUGGAAAUGUAGCCACUGGAGAUUCUUUGAUGCCUCUUGCUUGCAGUAGAGAGCCUCACAUUUCAAAGUAUGAAUUUCCUAAUGGAUUUUCUAGUGUGGACAACCAUGGUUCUGACGAUGUACAUAAAACUGUUAGGCAGAAAACCAUAGAUGUUGACAGUAUAAAUGAUAGUUGCUCAUCAUCGAAGUCAAAUAUGGAACUUGCAUUAGCUUCUAUUAAAGGUGAGAUGGAUGAAAAUGGUGAGUGCUGCUCCUCUAGUGUAAUAGCUGCUGAAGUUGUGAGGGAAGAUCUAUCUGAAAAAGAUAGGUGCCUCUCUAUACUUCAGAACCAGGGGAAUGUUGAGGAAGUUGGGCCUUCUAGGGCUCCUCUCAAUGAGGAAAUUGGGACUAGUGGUGCUAGCAGUUCUUCUAGGUUAUGCAAAAUUUGUGGUCGUUCAGAAACUGCACAAAAGAUGCUAAUUUGUGAUAAUUGUGAAGAAGCAUUUCAUGUACGUUGCUGCAAUCCCAGGAUAAAGAAAGUACCAGUUGAUGAGUGGUAUUGUUUUUCUUGUAUGAAAAAGAAGCGAAUAAUGGUCAAGGAUACAACUGCAAGAAAUUCUUCAAGUAUCACUGGUGGCAUGGGCAGAUGCAGAGGUGUAUCAUCUGAAGGGGAAUCCAGUCCAAUAGAAUUAAUGUUGAGAGAUGCUGAGCCUUAUAGAACUAGCGUUCGAAUUGGCAAGGGUUUUCAAGCAGACGUUCCUGACUGGUCAGGUCCAAUUGAUGACGAUGUUGAUACCAUUGGUGAACCACUGGAAUGGGAUCCUUUAGAAUUUACUGAUUUCAAUGAACUGAAUUGCAACAAGUCAUCUAAAGUAAGCUCAAUAGGGAACUGGCUUCAAUGUAGAGAGUUCAUAGAAGGCAUAGGAGGUAGUAAUGGAACCAUCUGUGGAAAGUGGCGCAGGGCUCCUCUUUCUGAAGUCCAAACUGAUGACUGGGAGUGCUUCUGCUCUGUCCAAUGGGAUCCAUCCCAUGCUGAUUGUUCUGUACCUCAGGAGCUGGAAACAGAUGAAGUUUUGAAGCAACUCAAGUAUAUUGAGAUGUUGAGACCUCGACUAUCAGCUAAACGGCGAAAAUCACAUCAGACCAUGAACCGCACGUUACAAGACCGUAAGGAUGAUAAGAGAAAUACACAGAACAAGCGGCUUGCUCGGCAGUGAUAAAUUUCCCAGAGUACCUGUACAGAUUCCCUUCACAAGAUCUUGUACAUCCAAAAGUCUUUCACGUUUGCUCUUUGCCAAAUUUGGUACUAGUUGUUGUGCUUCGCUUAUAAUAAAGACAUACUUGCUUGAUGCCCAAAGGAAAGCCCCCAAGUUAAGAGUAGAUAUGACCAGAAGGAAUCCGUAGUAGUAAUCUAAGUGAGAGUCAUUCAAGUUGUCUCCAAUCCAGCUCUUGUUCUCUCCCCUCCCUG